UGGGAGGGGAGAGUGAAAGUAAGAAGACUAACAGGCUGGUGCGGUGCUUAAAUACAAGGCCCUUCUCUUUUGCUUGGAAUACUGCAUGGAUCGUUUCUCCCAGAGAAGAUGACUCCCUGAAGCGAUUUUCAGCUACAUUAAGGCCCUGUUUUAUUCAUUAUGUAAUUCCAGGGUCUUCUAUAGUCUUGUAAUAAUAGAAAUCUAAUAAACGUUGAGCUGAAAAGAAA